GACGGGACGCGCGCGGCAGCGGUACCAGGCCCGGCCCCGGCUUGUGACCGCUGUGAGGAGAGAAAAUGGCGCGGGGCCGGGAAGCAGCGGCGCUCUCUGCCGCCUCCACCCGCGCGGCGGGCCUACCCGCAGUCAGCUCCUUGUAUUUCGCUUUUCGAGCCUGGUGUUCUCCUUAGCUCAGAGUUGGCCCCGCUUAGUUUCCUCCUUCCUCAGAGGCGCUGAGGUGAAGCCCUGGGGCGCUGCGCGGGGAUGGCCCAGGCCCACCUGCGGCCCUCAGUGCUGAGCAGCGCCUCCAGCUCCCGGAGCCCUCCCAGAGCCCCGGGCUGUGCCUGCCUGCCGCCGAGGCACCACACGCCCACCAGCGGCUGCGCAGCGUUACAGGGACAGCGGCACAGCACUGCUUUGGGCCACCAAGGUCGGGCAGGCCUCAGGCUGACGAUGCGGCAGGCACUGAAUGCAGUGGUAGGCAUUGAAAAUUGGAAGCAAAAAUGUCAUCAGCAGCGAUCUGCUGUAACGACGCAGCAUUGCACCACCACGCUUGUGAUGGAAGUGCACACAGUAGCUCUCCUCAGCAUUUUUUUUUUGUUACCUGUUAAAACCCGAGCCAAAUGUUUAAAAACGUGGAGUAGAGCAGAUGGAAAUGACUCAAAGUCCUUUGUUACUGACAAGACGCCUGCUUUGUGGUGAAUUUCUGUCAGCAGAAGCAUACUUUAUUUGUAACAGUAUUAUAAGGAAUUCUUCCCGUCAGAACUACACCCUUCUCAUACAAUUUGCACACAGUUGGAGCCCAGCAGGUCUUCCUGCCCACCAAACCCCAUCUCCCUGCUGCUGCUCGGCACCCUGUGGAGGAAGUGGGACUGAUGUGCCCCAGGAGCUGCCACAUUUAUGCAGCUGCAGCCAAAACUUGCUCAAAGCAGCCAUGGCCGUGUGCUUGCCCCGGGUACAUCGCAGCCUCACGCCGACCUCAGCCCUCACCCCAACACUCUCCAUCCCCAUGGGACCCAUGUCCCAUGGUCCCUUUUGCCACACCUGGGGACUGAGAGCUGGGCUGGAUUCUUUCCACCUUCACACCAUGGCCUACAACUAAGGACUCACAGAUGAAGUUGUUCCCUGGUUGCUGUACAGACCCCGAUCUGCUCGCUCUCAUUGUUCACUCCAGGGACCAAACAAGCCAGCAGACAUUUGAGACAUCAAAGCAAAAAUUCAGUAGGUCUAAUUCAAAACACAUGCAUGGAAGAGCCUUGCUGGCCGGGACAAUGCCAUGUCACAGAGCCACCUACAGAGAACCACUGUACACCUUGGCACUGCCGCAUUGUUUUCUGAAAGUGCAAAGCAUUACUGAAUGUGUAAGAAAAGAAACAGGCAAACAUUCCUGCAGGGGUUUGAAGGGAGGUAAAUCCACGGCCUGGCAGCCUGAAUGGCACUGUGGUUAAUGCAUCUCAGUGACAGGUGCUACAGGAGCACUUGCAGAACUCGGGCACUGCAGUAGAAGCCGUUGGCAGAAACCUGGGCAAAAAGCUGUAACUUGCUUAAUCACUGGCAGAAAAAAAAAAAAACAAGAUAGCAGUGUUGGCAGUAAUUAAGGUCAGAAACAUCACAAAGAAAAGGCAGAAUAGCAGCAGCAGCAAAGCCUCCCACAAGGGCUGCAGCACCUGAGGGACAACGGGGCCAUGGGCACAGUGGGAAGAAAGCGAGAGCAUCGCUCCCUGCUUGGGGACGGUCCCGGAGCACUGUGGCAUGUGGCCACAUGGUUGUGUCACAGUGUGACGAGCUGCAGGAGCACAACUUGCAGGACCCACAGUUCCAGGCUGCCUACAGCCAUUCAAAGCUGCCUGGUUUUCCUCAAGGGCAGCAUCCAGAGGAUGGCUCUCCGUGCCUUGUUUUUCUGCCACUUUCCCUUCUCUAUUUUCCAUUCUCCUUAAUAGAAAAAGGACUUUUCACACACUUUUAGCUCUUAGGUGAGUUGCCUGCCUCCAUGCCCUCCUGUCCACAAAGAAUAUAUUCUUCUAAUUCAGGUAAGUCCAACCCUUAGCACCCAGGGAUACCCCAUCAGGGGAAACCCAGAGGUCUGUGCUGAGCACAUCCCUCCUGAACAGCCCUCCACUGGCAGUGGGUACCACACAGGCAUGGGACAGCCAUGAGCUUUUCUUAAGGCCACCUGGGCUGAAAGCAGCUCCCUAAACACAGACAAGAGACUGUGUUUAGGAUUCUUUGAGCUCAUGUGUGGCCCCUGUGCCUGCUGCCCAGGGCUGCACAGCACCGUGCCCCUUCAAGCAGCAGCUGCUUGGGGAUGCACAUGGCUCAGGAGAACCCCAAAAUCUUCGGAGGAUUUUCCCCAUGCCAACAUGAGCAGCACAGCAUGAUGGAAACCACAGGCCCUGUGCAGGGGCUGAGGCUUUGCAGGAUGUGUCAUCUCUCAGCUGCAGCGCUGUGGCUUCACCCAGCAGCAUCCCCAGCUCACAGCCUGGCUUUCACCUCCCCCCAAGAUCUGAACCUGGACAGUCCCAAGAACAGGGUCAGGUCCAGAACUGGCUGCCAGUUUUUGAUGGCUCUGUACAACCAGGGUCCCCACGGGCAUGCUCACCGCCAGGAACCCCAGCACUCAGUUCUGCCCUACCUGCACAGAGCUGCCAGAGACUGGGCAGUGUCUGCCAGCACCUGGAGGCUAUGGAGUGUGCAGAGUGAGAGCAGCAGAACAGUCCUGGGCACACAGCAAGGACUGCAGAACAAGGAAACUCAGCUGCAGGGAUCCCUUUGCUGGAGAACGCUGUAGUUUUGUGCCUGUGCAGAAACUAGGUGGCCCAAGAGGUGAAGCAGCUUUGCAGAGAAACCUGUCCUGGCAUUAAAAGAGAGAAACCAUGGAUUAGAAACAGGUUUUGCCUUGCAGCUUUAGAGGCGAUGGGGUUGAAAAGAAUUAUCCAACACCUGCUAAACAGUUCAGCAGCCCAGACUUACACACAGCAUCCUUCAGGAGCUCUGCUCUCCAGGUCCUGGAUUUCAGAGCUGCCACAUCCCUGGGGUGACCACGGCUGCUCCAGGAGCCGGCCUGCAGACACAGAACCCCAGGAAUUGAGGGAAGUCUCCCUCUAUUUGGAGGGGAGGCAAAGGGAAGUGGCCUGCAAAGAGGCACAGGAAGAAGGGUGAGAAGCCAGCAGCGACCUCAGCAUGGCAAGGAUCAGACAGCUCCAUAGAGCAGGACAGGCUGUGCCACCACCCCUGCAGCCCUUUCUCCCAUGCAAGACAGCAGCCCUGCAGCAAGGAGAGGGGCUCAUCCCUGCUGACCCCAGCUGCAGGUUAAGAUCACUCUGGUGUCCCACUGUUAGUGAGAGGCCAGCGUUUGCCCUUUGAUUUAGUUAUGCACCGACAAAGAUUCAGAAGUGUUGGAAGUGCAAUUUUUUGCCACCGACUAAAAAUAGCCGAGCGAAAUUCCAGAGCUGCCUUUCAGCGCCGCCGGCUGCGCUCAGCUUAACAGGACAAUGGCAGCUGUAGGCUGAUGGUGACAACACGCAGGCCGGGCUCCAGCACCCUGAAUAACGAGUUCUAAAGGGCAAAAUUUGGCUGUAAUUACAGCUAUGCAAAAAGCAGUAUUUAAAAACACUAUUAUCUAAAUACCUGAACAUGCAUUGCCAACUUAACACUGGACAGGGGGAUGCAAUAAGAGUGGGACAGACUUUGCACAAAAUAAAAAUUCACCCAGCAAAUCCAUAGAUCCCUUCCAGGAGGAUGCUCAGUUAGCAGCCCGCAGUACAGCAGCGAUGCUGGGAGCCACGCUGCACGGCUUUUAAGCACAAACCACCCACCCUAUGAGCUGCUGCGGUGGCACGUGGUCACUUCUGAGCUCUGCAGAGUGAUGUCCUGUGCACACGCCAGGCAGAAUAGGUGCCUGUCACCAACCUGAGCCCGUGGCACUAUUCAGGGUGAAAAAAAAAGGACUAAGUCAGUGCUUUCAAAUGAGACAGUCCUAGUGCUAACGCUGACCCUUGCAACUCAAACAGAAGCGAGCCUGCAACAAAAGCACUUUCCGAAGGGCUAAAGGGAUAGGUACCCUUAUGUCAGCAGUUACAGGCAAUAGCUUCAUCACUUUUCUCCUCAGUGGCCUCAUCCUUCUGCUGACAUGUCCCUGGGUGACGUUAGGGACCCGAGUGCAAAAGUGCCAGACACACACAGUAAGGGGACCCAGCCCCGCUCAUGUGGCCGCUCUGCAAAGCAGACCCAGUUGUGUUUUCUCACUGAAACGUGAAAGAGAAGAGAUGUGAGAGGCAGCCAUGUAGAUCAGCAUGGGAAGUAACAGCAGUUUCCAGUCACGUCUGGCAUGGAGCUCCUGUGACAGUGAACUAGAGAGCUCUCGGGCAUCCCUCCACAACAGCCAGGCUCUGCCGCUCCUCUUUUCUCCUUAGAAUGCAAAACUGAACAUCAGAAACCACGUUUGCUGGUUGUGUCAUUAAAAGGUUAAUUGAGGAAUGUUUGCUCUUCCUGAAAACACACAUCCACAGCCCGGUUACAGCAAGCGGUGAGGCCGGGUGCACAUUUCCUGCUUCUCCCAUGACGUGCCCUGACCGAUGGGAUGCCUCAUUUCAUGCUGAUCUCAGCUCAACGCUUUGAUCUGCACCACAAGCUGAACACAGUCAGCUUUUUGUACCAGGGCUGCAGACAGCAUGGGAUGCACACAGCAAAGCAUUUUGUGCAUCAUUUUUAUCUUAUCAGCAGAAAUGCCACAGCUCCACAGCCUCCAGCAGCCAGGGACCCGAGAACCACCAGCCUAUAUAGCACAGACCAAGGAGCAAGGCAGGGAGCUCAGAAGCUGAACUCCAUAUAAAACUGCCCCAGGGAAGCAGCAAAUCUUAUUGCAGUAUUAGCCUACAUGGAAAGGAAGAGCAGCCCAGUAGCUGCAGCACACAUCCUGUUGCCCUGGCACUGCAGCACAAGGGGAGGUGCUCAGCUUCAGGCAAUCACUGCCAGGUGAGAGCAGGGGAGGGUGAUUUAAAGCAUCUGUUAGAACUCCUGCUAUUGAUGGCAUAUUUUACAUAUUGCCCUCUGGAAAAGCCAUCAAUAUAUCUAUUUUGAAUACAGGAAAAACCUCAGCAGGUAGGCCAGAGUACAGCAAGCACAGCUCUGAUCUGGGUUAGUCCUGCACCGAAGGGUUGGGUAACAGGGGCCUCUCAGCACUCCAGUGAUCUGUGAUGGGAGCGCUAAGCACCACUUCCUGCACCUGCAAAGGAUUUUUUCAGCUCCAUAGUUCUAAAAGCCCACCUUUGGUAACACAGCACGACAUCAUCUGAACUUUUUAUUGGUGUGGUGUUGGUUUUUUUUAUCCCCCUCUGAAGUCAGAUUUCUGCCACAGCUUAAGAGAGCAGCUCAGCAUGAUGAGGAAACAAGACGUUCCGAAGCUCAGCUACGUAGCAGCCACCUUAAAGCUCACAUACGGUUCUGAAGCCUUGCAGGCACAGAACAGAGUAAAGCAGGCGUUUCCUGGACUAAAGGAAAUAAAUCAGGAGUCCAUACUAUAUUCUUAAAUAUGGUUUAAUACUCUUCUCCAUUUCUGUACAUCACAACACCAAGAUAUCACUGCUUGGGAUCUCUCUGCAGAGGCUAUAUAGUAUGCGAAGGCUAGGAUUUUUCACCCCCAUUUAACGUGUUUGUAUGUGUAAGUGUAAUACAUAUCAGUAUAUAUUGAUAUACACAUCAAUAUAUAAUGCAAUAUAUAUCACUGAAGAGAACACAUUGAUUAAAGAAAUACAAAAA